CCCCUAGAUGUUCUGGGCCGCACGCGCGCUACACUGAACAGUUCAACAAGUCUUAACCUUGGCCGAUAGGUCUGGGUAAUCUUUGAACGCUGUUCGUGAUUGGGAUAGACCUUUGCAAUUAUGGGUCUUCAACGAGGAAUUCCUAGUAAACGCAAGUCAUCAGCUUGCAUUGAUUACGUCCCUGCCCUUUGUACACACCGCCCGUCGCACCUACCGAUUGAAUGGUCCGGUGAAAUCUCGGGACGGCGGCUUGGUCGCUUGCGUCCGACUGCUGAAACUUGAUUAAACCAUAUUAUUUAGAGGAAGGUGAANUCGUANCA
rnacentral:rRNA from 1 species